GAGGCACUUGUCACGGAUGAAGCA
rnacentral:siRNA from 1 species